UACGGAGGGUGCAAGCGUUAUCCGGAUUCACUGGGUUUAAAGGGUGCGUAGGUGGCUUUGUAAGUCAGUGGUGAAAUCUUAGAGCUUAACUCUAAAACUGCCAUUGAUACUGCUUAGCUUGAAUCACGUCGAGGUGGAUGGAAUAUUACAUGUAGCGGUGAAAUGCUUAGAUAUGUAAUAGAACACCGAUUGCGAAGGCAGUUCACUAGGCGUGUAUUGACACUGAGGCUCGAAAGCGUGGGGAGCAAACAGG
rnacentral:rRNA from 1 species